AUUGAACUCUGGCGGCAGGCAUAACACAUGCAAGUCGAGCGAGUGGCGGACGGGUGAGUAAUGUCUGGGAAACUGCCUGAUGGUGGGGGAUUAAUACUGGAAACGGUAGCUAAUCCCGCAUACCAUCAGCUGUGCCCAGAUGGGAUUAGCUAGUUGGUGUGGUAAUGGCUCACCUAGGCGACGAUCCCUAGCUGUGCUGAGAGGAUGACCAGCCACACUGGAACUGAGACACGUUCCAGACGCCUACGGGGGGCGGAAGUGGUGAAUAUUGCACAAUGGGCGCAAGCCUGAUACAGCCAUGCCGCGUGUGUGAAGAAGGCCUUCGGGUUGUAAAGCACUUUCAGCGAGGAGGCGUUACUCGCAGAAGAAGCACCGGCUAACUCCGUGCCAGCCGCCGCGGUAAUAC
rnacentral:rRNA from 1 species